CCAGUGUCUGUUUCCCUUGAGACUUCCUCUUUGAACCAUGGAUUAUCUGGAAGACUCUGCUCAAGGAGGCUUCCGCCGUGGCAAGUGAAGGUGGUUCUUCUGGAAGGGUCUGUCCUGCUGUGAAGGAAUGAAGAAAGUGGUCAGCAUCCUCUCUAGAUCAGAGGGACUAUGCAUUUGUCUUUACUUUUUAUCAUGAAGAUUUCAAACGUAAUGCAAAGAAAGCAGGAGAGUCUAAUGGGCCCCUGUGUAUCUAUCACUGCCUUCGAUAACUAUCCACUUUCUGCCUUCAUCUGCUUUCCACCCCCGUCUCAAACAAAUUAAUUUAUAGGCAUACAGUUCUUUUGCGUUUUGAAGUAAAAUUUAUAUACCGUGAAAUGCAUGAAAUCUUAACAUUAAAAUUUUGAAAAAUAGAUACGUCUGUGUAACUCACACCCCUAUCAAGAUACAAAACCUUCCCAUCACCCAAAAAAAGUGCUCUUGUACUUUUCACGGUCAAUCUCCUCACUUCCCUGACUUUUCACCAUAUUUAAUUUAGUCGCCUGUCCUAGCAUAUCUGUUCAUUGCUUUUUAAUAUAAUAAAACCAUUUCCAUC